AGUAGACCCAACCUGAGCUAGAAGGAUCUUAGAAACCACCCGUUAAUCCAACCCGUUACUUCAAAGGAGAGAUGAUUUCAGCUACAGAAGUCAAGGUCAAAUCCAAGACCAAAUGUUUCUGUGCUUCAUCCAUUGCUCCAUGGAAAGAGUUUAUAAUAGUUUUUCAACCUUGGAACUGAUGUUUGGACCAGAUUAUUGUGCAUGCUAUUCUCCAUCCUAUACACCGUCCACCAGCAUCCUGGCUUCCGCCCAUGAGAGACCAUCAGCACUCCUACAGCUGUGACAAUAAAAAAUGUCUCCAGACAUUGACAAAUGUCCCCGUACAGACAAAAUAGCCCCUAAUGAACAACCACUACUUAAUACUAAUCAAAUGCUACAUUUAUGUAUUUUUAUGUUGGGGUUUACCUAACCAUUUAGUUGAUUAAAAGUUUUUC
rnacentral:lncRNA from 1 species